rnacentral:misc_RNA from 1 species
CCAGUUUCCUCCAUCUACCAUUCAAUAGUUAGAUUAUUCUUUCUCGUGUUUCUUUUAUAAGCUUUUUAUUUCUGAUUUUUCGUCUCUUCACUUGCUUCCAUUCCUGUAUUUCAUCCUUCUUCCUGAUAAACUAGAUCCAUAUACACAGAGCAAGUAAUUAUCAGUGGUGAAAUAUCUCAUCAUUUUUGUGUGUGAUAGAUAUUUCUGAGAGAAGAGGAGGGGAAAGGCAAUUUUCUUUUUCUUCUCAACCAGUGUUUUCUGCUUACCAUAAUCAAUGGAGGAGUUUUCAGUUGGGAAAGUUGAUGUGACCCAGAAAGUGGGACCAGAUGAAGAAGACAACGGAGGACUUGUCAGAGAUUUUGAGGAACUCAAACCUGAAGUUGAAUCUGUGAAAGAAGUUGUAGAUGAGAAUUCUCAGUCUUUGAAAGAAACUCAUGAUAUGUUGAGUUCUGAUAGCGGCAACACUCCGGAGGAAGAGGCAGUUGAUAAGGAUCAGAGUCCUCCAGGAAAGGAUUCAGGGACAUUGAAGGAGGAGGUGGAGAAAGAGGUUACUAACAUCAUAGCGUCAGCUGAGCCUAUUGAAAGUUUGCCACAAGAACUGUCUUCGACUGUAGAGGCAUCAAUUGAGAAAUCAAAGGAAUCUGAUGCGAAUGAAGGGAAAAUCUUCCCAUCUUCAAAUGAGAACAAUGAGAUGGCCUCAGUAGCAGCAGAUGGGGUGUUCAAUGUAACGAAGAAAAUAAUUUCACCACCAACAACUCUGGAUGAGAUUGUUGGAGAUUUAUCUGAAGAGGUGUCAGGUGGACCUGAGGAAAUAAAGCUGCCAUCUUCUGAUGUUUCGAAUGUAAUUGAAACAGAUAUCGUUUCAGAAGUUCGAGGAAUUGAGGAGAAAGUGUUGCCAUCAUUGGAUGAAAAUGGUGGGGAGCCUCCAGCUUUAGCAGAUGUAGAGUCAAAGAGGGUUGAGGAAGCAAAAAUGGUUGCUUUGGAGGAUGACAAUGGAGAGUCCUCUGGCAUUGUUGAUAAAGAAUCUGUGGAAAGUGAUGAUGAUUCAUUGAAGCCAUCAAACAAUGCUUCUAUUAUUGGAAGCAGUGAUGGUUUCCCUGAGAGCACAGAACAUCCUCAUGUUAUAUCUCUAAAUCAGCGCACCCUGCAAGAUGCAUCUUUGAAGAGUUGCUGCGGCCUUUUUGAAGUUCUCCGGCGUUCAAAUGGGUGGCUCAAGAUAUGACAUAUAACUUCAGACAGCUACUAAGCUAUGAAGCUUGCGAAGCACAUAAUAUAUGGUUUCUAAAAUUUUCUGUAUAACAGUAUUGAAGAAUAAAAAUAUUUCAAGAUUACUGUAUGAAAUAAGUGUCAAAACCUGGUGGGCUGCUCAAGUUUGUUAUUUAUGUGGUGUGUUUGCUGUGGUUAACUGUUUGGUGGCUGAAAUCAACAUUAGUUUUUUCUCUAUAUUUUAACACUGUUAUUUAUUCAAUUGGAAGGAGCAUGGUCCAUGAGGAUGAUUACUUUAUAAUCCGCUUUGGCAUAUUGGAUUUCUAUUGAAUGAAGCAUUGAUUCAUAUGCCAAUGUGACUUGUUCUUCGAUCAUGACCUUUGGACUAUUAAUGCCGCUGUAACAGACACAUAGGAAGUCCCCUAGAGCAUUUGAACACAAGCACCAGUUUCGAGAAAUAUGAUCAGGGACUGGUACUUUCUCCAGGAAUUUCUCUUCUGCCAAAUCAAAUAAAACAAUGACAAACCUUUUAGGUUUGGGUCAUUUUAUUCAACCAGCCAAUGCAGAACCCCAUUUAGAUAAGUAGCUGAGCCCUUGAAGGCAACACGACAAUGCAGAUCUCGAAUUCUUCUCCACUCGUUACAUUUCAAGGUAAAGACCUCCAUUUCAACUUCAGAACUUGAAUCAGAGAUGACUCCUCUUACUACUUUGUAAUAAUCAAGGUAAGAUUCAUAUCCAAAUCCGGAAAAUACCUGAUCAUCUGGAACACAACAACUCGGCACAAGCAACUCCUUGGAUUCUCCGGUAGAUGGAUUCCCCGGUAGAUGGAUUCCGCGCAAUGAUUUGUGGGUUAGAGUAAAAAACUGCAGUAAUCAAGCCAUCGCACGAUCCCUCGAGAUGGAGAUCACUUUCAAGAAUCCUUACUGGAUAUCCGAGCUUCCUAAAUACAAUAGUGUCGUCGACAUCACAGUACGCUUGGUGAUCUAUGGACCAUAACGGAGACGUGGUGAGAAAGAGCCUGUGGCGAUUGUCAGUUGUGUCUUGCUUCGCAUGUGGCAAUUCGAGGAUCGUUGGAGAUCAAAGAAUGCUGAGAUUUGCCCACAUAGUUGAAACGUAGUAGAGGCUUCAUAGGUAGCCUUGAAAGGAUGCCGAUGUGUUACGUGAUUUUCCAGCCACAAGAACACAAUAACAGGAAGAACGAAAAAGGAGAAUCAAUAGAAUUCAGAGAGA